rnacentral:lncRNA from 1 species
CGGAUUUAAAGACAACAUAGUGAAAUGUGAACACUGUACAAGGAGUUUUAGCUGCAAAAACUGCACGUCAAAGAUAGACCAUAUCAGGAGACAAGAUCAAGCCCUAAAGAUGAAGGAUCAAACUAUACAAAGUGAGUAUGUGUUUGUAACAGUCACAUAACUGAUGUCAAACCAUAACUAUAAUUAUAAAGAAGAAUGAUAUCCUAGAACAAUUAAAAAAAUCAUGCAUCAACGAGAAACCGACAACAGUAUGGACAUUAGAGAAAAACAAAACAAUUCUUUGAACUGAAAUCAGAACAACACGAACUCAAUCGGAAACUACGAAUUAUCUAUCAUGCUUCAGAUGGGUUAAACGUUACACAAUAGUGAAAGUAUUAACCGAUGAUAACACUUUCGGGAAAACAGGAUGGCUUGUGUCUACGACAAGUUUAACAUUUCAGUAGUAAACUUCAAUAUAAAUAAACCAAUUCAUCAUGUUAGUUAUGAUAUUAGAAACCGUUACAAUGAUAUGCUAAAAAUGAUUUCCUAGUUAUUUCGAAGUGUUAAUAAUAAUUAUUAAUUAUAACAUGACGUCCUUCAAACGCUUUGAGUACAUACCCGUGAUAAAAUAUGAAUAUAGUUCAUGGACUAUUCCGAUUGUACUCCCACGUCUUAUGCUUUUUGAUGAAUGAGCUUCCCGACGUCAUAGAACGAUGACGUAAGAAUAUAAGCAUUUUACGGGAAAAUUCACGCUUAUGAAACCGAUAAUCAUCACAAAAAGGAAACGUCCAUUUUUUUUAAAACAUAUAAGACAUUUUAGUAAAUUAUUAUUAAAUUCAUCCAAAAUUACCUUAAUACGUUAUUGUAAAUAGGUUAGGCAUGUCACAAAUUAAGUCGCUCCUUUCUUUUACGUCAAUUCAAUAGUGCGUUUAUUUAUGGGAACGGCAAAUAUUUGCCUCCAUCUAGAGCGGUUCGAUCCAAAAGAAUUGCCGUAUUGUCCUAUUAGAAUCGAAAUAAUUCAUGGGGCUUGAAUAUAUCGUGAUUUUACCACGGGUUGUCCCUUUAUGCCGAUAUUUUAUCCCUCGCUAUCGCUAAGGGUAAAAUAUUUGGCAUAAAGGGCCAACCCGAGGUAAAGUCACGAUAUAUUCAAGCCCCCAUGAAUUAUUUCUUAAUUAAACAACAAAUGUGUUCACAACUUUACUUAUUUUCCAACACAAGGGUUAGAGAUGGCAUUGACGAAGAGAGAGAAAGAAAUGGUUGAAGGUAGGAUUUACUUUGAUAAUGUAAUUCUUAGUCCUAUAAUAAAUAUCAUUUUGCCUUCGUUCAAAUGAGAAAAACAAAGAAAACACUUAAAGAGGAAAAUGUACAGGUUGCUCAACUUUACUUAAGUUUAAUUGAAAAUCCACAAUAAGACAAUUUGCAGAUGUUGUGACCAGCUUGCAGAGAAGCCGACUCCUAUUUUUUGAAAAGCAAAAGUUGAAUGCCUAGUUAAAUGCCAAUAAAAUAAUACUUAUUACUGCAACUACUUUAUUGUGUGGUUAUAUUUUAAUGCAGUUAAAAUAAUGCCAACAUAUCAUUUAGUUGUUUUAAAAUGUUGAAUCGCCAGUCCUACUUUUUACGAAUUUUUCAUUAAAAUGGAGUUGAAAGGAUAACUAAGGGUUACAGAAUAUCACAACGACUAACGUACGUUUAAGAAUAAAAUAUUACAUGGCUUAUGUUAAUACACCAUAAAUGACUCACGAUCAAUGUAAAAAGAUUAAAGUCAGAUCUAACUAUAUUCAUUUAAAUUGAAUAGCCGAUUACUUAUACUAAAUCAAUUACCAAUUUCAGAAAUUGUGUGCUUUGAACAAAAUCUAUACAGCUUACGAUCUUUUACUUUCAUGGACGAAUUUCAUCUUAUUAUCAACAAAUAUACCUAUUGUUACUUAGAAUAUUAUUGUUUAUGACAUAAUUUCUGAGUGUUGAUUAACAUUAAAAGAGCAAUAUUAUUAAACCGCUGUUCAAUAGUCCUAAAUCGAUUAGGCGGAAGAUAUAUGCAUGGCAGGAAACGCUUUCCUCUUCGACACAUUCGGCAUAGCUCAUUUAAAGUUCAAGCUAUUCUAUUGAAUUAGCUUUUCAUUACUAUUUUUAUCAUGAUAAUGAAUCUAUGAGACUGACGUUAAAGUUGCUUCUUAUUUCCAAUGAAAGAUAUAUUGCUUAAAGUUAAAUAGUUUAUAUCAUUAGAAUAUAAUACAUUUUUCAUGAUAACAUCAUCUUCAUUUUUUGGCUCAGGAUAAUAGUUAAAAUGUUUCUAGUUUUUUCUUUUGAUUAUAUCAACCUGUGUUUGAUAUAGUUCUGUUUUGUUUUUUAGUGGUGAUUCUCAGUACAUGCAGUAUUUUGCAAUUUUAUAAACUGUCUAUAUUGUUAAAUCGUGUCAUGGAUUUGUUCUUGUAGGUGAUGAAUCUGAUUACAAAUCUUA